rnacentral:rRNA from 1 species
UACAGAGGUCUCAAGCGUUGUUCGGAUUCAUUGGGCGUAAAGGGUGCGUAGGUGGCGUGGUAAGUCGGGUGUGAAAUUUCGGAGCUUAACUCCGAAACUGCAUUCGAUACUGCCGUGCUUGAGGACUGGAGAGGAGACUGGAAUUUACGGUGUAGCAGUGAAAUGCGUAGAGAUCGUAAGGAAGACCAGUGGCGAAGGCGGGUCUCUGGGCCGAUACUGACGCUGAGGAGCGAAAGCGUGGGGAGCAAACAGG